GCCGAACAGAUUUGUUGUUGCCAACUGGUUAAUUUCUACAUAAAACUGUUUCACACACAGUUAGAAAAUUUUUACACUUUCAAGUUCCACAAACAUUAAAGUUUUACAAAAAUACGUAGUACAAAGAUAUUGCUAUCAUGACGACAACAUCAAUCCCACUCGAGACAAAUCUUCCCGCACCGGAAGACGACGGAAAGUGUGACCAUCUUGUUCCAGGGACUCCAAUCCCAUCGAUUAGCUUGCCAGCAACGGAUGGCUCCUCCGUCAACUUAUCCACCCUUUCGGGAACCACGGUGAUUUACUGCUAUCCACGAACGGGACAACCCAACGUGCCCUUGCCGGACGGAUGGGCCCUUAUCCCUGGAGCGAUGGGGUGCUCUUUGCAAUCAUGCUCGUUUAAGAAUCACUUAAAGGAGUUACAAAAACUUGGCGUGACUCGCGUCUUUGGCUUAUCAAGCUGAAGCCUGGGAACGGCUACAUCUUCCAUUCAAUUUGUUGAGCGAUGACAAGAGAGAAUUUAUUGAGGCGUUAAACCUGCCAACUUUCGAAGCUCCCGAGUGCGGAGUUUUGGUCAAACGUGUCACACUUGUGAUUAAGGAUGGAGUCGUUUUGAAGGUCUUUUAUCCAGUUUUUCCAGCAGAUAAGAGCGCCGAAGUGGUGGUUGAAUGGGCCAAGGAAAAUAAUUUUUGAGGCGAAGAGCAGUCAGGACCGAAAUCGAGAGGAGAUACAUAAAAUGAAUGUGUAUUUCGCCAAUUGUAUGCAAAAACUAAAAUUGCCAAAUAAAUAAAUGAAAUUUAAAUGCAAAUCAAACAA